UGGGCGCUGUGCGGAGUAGCCGCGGGCUGGUGGGGCCUCGGGGUGGCGCGGCUGCUGGGCAGAACUCACCACAGUGAAAAUGGGAUCUUCAAAAGAUCUGCCCAGAUACCGACCAGACCCAGAGCUGUGUGGGUUGAGCAAGGUUGUUGUAUUAUGUGCUUUCAGACCACAGCUCUGGCUUUACCCGCAAAGCCGUAUAGCAUUGGCUGAACCGUUAGAGAUCCAUUAGCCUCUUCCUCCAUCAGUGUCUAAGCAUAAAGGCUUAGGGGGAUUAAAUACAGGUCAUUUCCAUGCCAUAGUGUGAAUAAUGGAUGGUGGAAACAUUUCUAUGCUGUGAUCCAGUGUGAACCUACGUCAGGACCAUAGGAAGCUGCUUCAAUCUGCAUUCGGCCCUUUGUUCAUCUAGUACACUUUUGUAACUACCUUUCCUUUUUCCCUCUGCAUCAUGUCUGAUUGUAUUACCUUUAAUAUCUAUAUAGCCAUUUAAAAUUUAAGGUGCUUUUAUAAUGAUUACAAAAAGCAAAGGUGGCCAUGCUUGGUCAUAGGAAACAUUCCAAAACCCAUUCUUAGGCCACUCCUUCUAUUAGGUCAACUCAGGGCAACAAAAUAGUACAAAGGCUCAGAGGCAGUGCGCCUAAGUGCACAGUUGCUGAGGAACUGGGACAGGAUGGUGCUGUGGUACUCAGGUCCCGCUUGAGGGAUCCCGUGGGCAGCUAGUCUGGCCGCUGUGUGGACGGAUUUCUAAUCUCCUGGUCACAGUGGGGUUCCAACCCAAGCAGAUGCUCUGUGUGCUACUUCCCAGUCAUGCUCAAAAGUAAAGUCCGACGAGGAUGGGAUUCGAACCCACGCGUGCACAGCACAAUGGAUUUCUAGUCCAUCGCCUUCACCACUCGGCCACCUCGCCCUUGGUCCCAUCCAGCAGGGCUCUGCGUAUGUUCUUUCUCCAGAACACUUCAUCAGGCAAAGCCACCUUGUCUGAUGAAAGGAUCUGGAGAGCCCUUAAGAUUGCAUACUAUUCUGUGACCUUCAAUUGCUCUAAAAAGAUAAUUGCCCUAAUAGUGGAUUUUGGAACAAUAAGGAUUAUGAGCUACACUUCCAGUUACUGUCUGUGUUGAUUUGUUUUGACAUCCGGAUGUCAUCUUCAUAGCUAAGCAUGAAUUUGAAUCUGGGUCUGUGUGGUAUUUGGUCCAGCACUCUACCCUUACAGCACACUGGCAAAAAUGACAGGUCCCUGUCCAGAAGCACUUACAAUCUAAGUUUCUCAGCUUGUUUGUUUGGUUUUCCCUUCUGCAGAUGGUUUAUAAUAAAACAAAUAAUGAUGCUACAUUGAUCCAAAGCACUUAUUGCUGCUUGUGGUUUUCAAAGAGAAGAAAAGAUGAAUUGCUUUUUUAUAGCUUAUGUGGGGAAGGUAUGGAUGGAAAGAAGAUCAAGUGUGCCAACAGAGGGUAGAAAUGUAUACUAGAAAACCACCAGUCAGUAUGAAGAAGAUGGCGCUUCCUUUUUGGGAAGUUCAAAGCACUUUCUGUGGUAAUUCUUUUUCUUAAGCUUUUAUAACCCACUGACGUCUCGGGACGGCUUACAACAAAAUACUUACAGCCGCCUGUAGAAGAGACCUGGGACAGGUUAUGGAAGUGCAUGCCUUUGACUAUCCUCCGCUUUCUCAUGAAGGGCUCACAGCUGAGAGAAGACCAGGGAUGUCGGGGAUGGAUUUUGCACUCACUUCAGUAGUGCUGUCAAUUUCCGUGCCUUACUUUUGCUCCAUACAAAUGAAUGGCCUGUAUUGACUUCUACAGAAAAAAGAAAACUUGCAUCAAAAGUGGGGGAGGGUUUCCUUGCUUUGAAGGGCUGCCCAAUCUAAGUCCGCUUUAAAGAUAAAGAAUCAUCACAAGGGAAAACAGAAAGGCCUUGAAGUUGCCCACUGACUGAAUAACAGACUGUGCAGGCACACGGACCACCUGGCCAUAGUGUCCCCCACAAUGGUAAGAGAUAUUUCAAAGUCGAUUGUUUUUACAUUUGCAUCUGUAGAUGUAAAAGAGCAUGUGGACAGUGUAUGCAGAGCUGUGCCGUCUUUUUGGGGGAUCCAUCAGUGCCACUCC